CGGCGGGUCACCGUUUGUGCGAACUGCUAUUAAUCUAUGAGACGAUCAUGUUUGAAGACGGCGUCCUUGGUGGGAGAAAUCCAAAACCGGCACCAGUUCAUCACCGGUGACAGCAAACAAAAUAGUUACAACUGGAUAUGGCCUUUACAUAUCAACUUUUAGAAAAGGUGUAAUUUUACCGAAGUUUAUUAUCUCCCCUGGAUACAAGAUACAAUGAACUUCAGACCUGUAAUACCUACUUAAUAUUUGGUCAAAACCGUCGUCCAAAAUAUGUCUGUUAAUAACAUAAUAUAGUAUAUAUGGUUUACGUUGAA